UACGGAGGAGGCAAGCGUUAUCCGGAAUUAUUGGGCGUAAAGCGUCCGCAGGUGGCCCUUCAAGUCUGCCGUCAAAGACCGGGGCUUAACCCCAGAAAGGCGGUGGAAACUGAAGCGCUAGAGUGCGGUAGGGGUAGAGGGAAUUCCCGGUGUAGCGGUGAAAUGCGUAGAGAUCGGGAAGAACAUCGGUGGCGAAAGCGCUCUACUGGACCGCAACUGACACUGAGGGACGAAAGCUAGGGGAGCGAAUGGG
rnacentral:rRNA from 1 species